rnacentral:rRNA from 1 species
UACGGGGGGGAGCAAGCGUUGUUCGGAUUUACUGGGCGUAAAGGGCGCGUAGGCGGCCACUGCAAGUCGGUUGUGAAAUCUCCGGGCUUAACCCGGAAAGGUCAACUCGAUACUGCAGGGCUAGAGUGCAGAAGGGGCAACUGGAAAUUCGUCGGUGUAGCGGUGAAAUGCGUAGAUAUCGAGAGGAACACCUGCGGCGAAGGCGGGUUGCUGGGCUGACACUGACGCUGAUGCGCGAAAGCUAGGGGAGCGAACGGG